UUACUCGUUCCCUUUUAGGCAACUCCCUUGAUGUGGUUGCAGAGGUGCAAAAGGCAAAAAUACAGUUUCAUAACUUGGCUGAUAUUGCCUUCUCCACUCCAACUGUUGAGGAACUUGAGUUGCAGCUUCAUUUUGUGAAUUUUAAUACUGGCAAGAAGGUGAAAUUGACACUAGAUAUGUCAUGCUUGAAUAGGGGGGUCUAUCCUUCAGAAGUUGUUCCAUCCCAGGUUGCAGCUCUAGCUCUUCGCGUGGAACAUUCAGAUGAUGCACUACUUGGUGAAAUUAGAGCUGCUGUCAAAAAUCUUAGAGCUGGAUACAUGAGGAUUAUACGGUUAUGUGAUUGUAUUUCACGAGUUGUUCAAGCCUCAGGUGGUUAACUUCAGCAGAAAAGAAAAUUUGAACUUGGAUGAAUGGACUCUUGUUGGGAUUGCCACUGCUUGGAGCACUUAUGAACUUCCUCUUGCAGAUGUUCUCCAUUGUCACAGGUCUUCUGUGGCAACAAUCGCAUCAUAUGUUGAAGAAUGAUUGUGAUAUAUGAGGUGAGAUCAUAGCUGAAUGUAUAACUUUUUCUCUUCGAUCCAGAAGUAUUGUCAUUGGUUAUUUUCCUAGGCCUUCUCUAUUUUUCUAAACCGUCUUCUUAAUUUCUUGUUUUACUUUUGGGCGAUGUAGGGUUGGAGAGUUCUAAACUUUAGAACUAUAAUGAUCAGCGUGAGCUCUUGUUUACUUUGAUCGAAUAUUAUAAGCUGUUAGAUUAGCUGCAUUUUGCUCAUA